GACGAACGCUGGCGGCGUGCUUAACACAUGCAAGUCGAACGGAAAGGCCCUGCUUUUGUGGGGUGCUCGAGUGGCGAACGGGUGAGUAACACGUGAGUAACCUGCCCUUGACUUUGGGAUAACUUCAGGAAACUGGGGCUAAUACCGGAUAGGAGCUCCUGCUGCAUGGUGGGGGUUGGAAAGUUUCGGCGGUUGGGGAUGGACUCGCGGCUUAUCAGCUUGUUGGUGGGGUAGUGGCUUACCAAGGCUUUGACGGGUAGCCGGCCUGAGAGGGUGACCGGCCACAUUGGGUGUGAGAGACGGCCGAGCCGCCUAGGGGGGGCGGAGGGGGGGAGUAUGGAACAGGGGGGGGAGCCUGGAGGCAGCACCGCCGCGUGGGGGAGGAGGGCCUGGGGUUUGAAACCCUCUUCCGCCGGGGACGAGGGGUGAGGGCGGGAAGGGGAUAAAGAGGCACCGACAACCAAGGGG
rnacentral:rRNA from 1 species